rnacentral:rRNA from 1 species
UACGUAGGGUCCAAGCGUUAUCCGGAUUUAUUGGGCGUAAAGCACAUGUAGGUGGAUUGGUAAGUCUUGUUUAAAGCUCUGGGCUCAACCCAGAAUCUGGACGAGAUACUAUCAAUCUAGUGGUCAGCAGGGCUAACGGAAUUCCCGGUGUAGGAGUGAAAUCCGUUGAUAUCGGGAGGAACACCAAUGGCGAAGGCAGUUAGCUAGGCUGAUCAGACACUGAGAUGUGAAGCGUGGGAGCGAACGGG